rnacentral:rRNA from 1 species
AUUGAACGCUGGCGGCAGGCUUAACACAUGCAAGUCGAGCGAGAGGCGGACGGGUGAGUAAGGUCUGGGAAACUGCCUGACGGAGGGGGAUAACGACGGGAAAAGGUAGCUAAUACCGCAUACGAUCAGAUGUGCCCAGAUGGGAUUAGCUAGUAGGUGGGGUACUGGCUCACCGAGGCGACGAUCCCUAGCUGGUCCGAGAGGAUGACAGGCCACACUGGACCUGAGACACGGUCCAGAUUCCUACGGGAGGCAGCAGUGGGGAAUUUUGCACAAUGGGCGCAAGCCUGAUGCAGCCAUGCCGCGUGUGUGAAGAAGGCCUUCGGGUUGUAAAGCUCUUUCAGCGAGGAGGCGUUACUCGCAGAAGAAGCACCGGCUAACUCCGUGCCAGCAGCCGCGGUAAUAC